CAGGAUUAUUCUAGGCACCUGAAUAGAACAGCCAGCCAGGAUGGCUUGUUCCUGCUCUCCUAUGCUUCUAUCAUUGGCAGUAAACUUGUGCAAACACUGGGAUCCCUGGAUACCAUGAGGCUUCCUCCUCCAAUAUAACUUAUCCAAAGGGUUCAGACCCUGAGAUGGCUCAUUCCUUCUUAGUCACAAAGGAGAAAACUCAGGAGAUGUUUGUCAACAAAGAGUUGA
rnacentral:lncRNA from 1 species